rnacentral:rRNA from 1 species
UGGGGAAUAUUGCACAAUGGGCGCAAGCCUGAUGCAGCCAUGCCGCGUGUGUGAAGAAGGCCUUCGGGUUGUAAAGCACUUUCAGCGAGGAGGAAGGUGGUGGACUUAAUACGUUCAUCAAUUGACGUUACUCGCGGAAGAAGCACCGGCUAACUCCGUGCCAGCAGCCGCGGUAAUACGGAGGGUGCAAGCGUUAAUCGGAAUUACUGGGCGUAAAGCGCACGCAGGCGGUUUGUUAAGUCAGAUGUGAAAUCCCCGGGCUCAACCUGGGAACUGCAUUUGAAACUGGCAAGCUAGAGUCUCGUAGAGGGGGGUAGAAUUCCAGGUGUAGCGGUGAAAUGCGUAGAGAUCUGGAGGAAUACCGGUGGCGAAGGCGGCCCCCUGGACGAAGACUGACGCUCAGGUGCGAAAGCGUGGGGAGCAAACAGGAUUAGAUACCCCUGGUAGUCCACGCUGUAAAACGAUGUCGAUUUGGAGGUUGUGCCCUUGAGGCGUGGCUUCCGGAGCUAACGCGUUAAAUCGACCGCCUGGGGGAGUACGGCCGCAAGGUUAAAACUUAAAUGAA